rnacentral:rRNA from 1 species
GGUGUAAGCCAGGUCGGUUUCUAUCUUUAAUAAAAUAAAAUAUUUUAGUACGAAAGGACCAAGUAUUUAAUAUAUUUAUAUUUUUAUAUUGAAUAGUAUUAAAUUUU